rnacentral:rRNA from 1 species
CCUACGGGGGGCAGCAGUGAGGAAUAUUGGUCAAUGGACGAGAGUCUGAACCAGCCAAGUAGCGUGAAGGAUGACUGCCCUAUGGGUUGUAAACUUCUUUUAUAUGGGAAUAAAAUGUUCCACGUGUGGGAUUUUGUAUGUACCAUAUGAAUAAGGAUCGGCUAACUCCGUGCCAGCAGCCGCGGUAAUACGGAGGAUGCGAGCGUUAUCCGGAUUUAUUGGGUUUAAAGGGUGCGUAGGCGGAUCGUUAAGUCAGUGGUCAAAUUGAGGGGCUCAACCCCUUCCCGCCAUUGAAACUGGCGUUU